AUUUAUCUAAUAUAAAUUUAGUAUAUUUAACUUCCAAUUAAAAAGUUUGUAAAAACAAGAUAAAUA
rnacentral:tRNA from 1 species